CGGGACGGGUGAGUAACACGUGGAUAACCUACCUAUAAGACUGGGAUAACUUCGGGAAACCGGAGCUAAUACCGGAUAAUAUUUUGAACCGCAUGGUUCAAAAGUGAAAGACGGUCUUGCUGUCACUUAUAGAUGGAUCCGCGCUGCAUUAGCUAGUUGGUAGGGUAACGGCUUACCAAGGCAACGAUGCAUAGCCGACCUGAGAGGGUGAUCGGCCACACUGGAACUGAGACACGGUCCAG
rnacentral:rRNA from 1 species